CGAGAAAUUUCUCUCUUAUCACGGUGUACGCCAUAAUCAUCUUCUCUCUCUAUCGUCCUGGGAAGGCGCUUCAUACCAUAAAAUAUAGACACUCUACAAUAUUUGGUCAGCCUGACUAUGUUCGCCUCGAGCAAUUAAGGCGUGUUACAAAAUAAACAAAAUGAAUUUUUUUUGUACAUUCAUUUAUAAAACAUGUAUAUGAUUCACUUAUAUGUAUAACAUGUCCUUAUUAUUUAAAAAUAAAAAAUUAGUUAUUUGUCAUAGCACGGAAAAGAUUAAAAAAUUAUGAAUUUUUUUUUCAAUUCAAAACUUUGACACCCAUUAUAGUCAAGUCUUAUAUUAAAAAUUAAGUAUUAUUUUAAGAUAUCAUCAAUUACAAAGCCGUAUUAGCAUCUUAAUUCUUUUGUACGUCUGGAAUAUAUGCUUCUCUUACAGAAAUUAUCAUAACUUUUAAAGAAAUUAUCUUAUCGACUUUUAUUUUUGUUGUUUUAAAAAGGAAAGUUUAAUCUACACGUAUAAAUUAUUGCACACUUUGAAAUCUUGCGUAUUCAAAAAGAUAUAAUGUAAACUUUGCAAAAAAUUCAUCUUUUUGGUAGUAAAGAAUAAUCAUGUAUUAUGUCAAAUUUUUAUUAAAUUGACUUUUUAGUUAAAGUCUUAUUUAAUUGUAAAAGAAAUAAAAAAAGAUUAAAAUUUUAUUGUAAUAAAUAUUGUAAUAGUUUUUAUUGUAUUCAAAGUAUGCGCAAGCAACAAUGUCUUUUAGACUUCCGUAAUACUUUUAUUUUUCUAAAUAUGCUAUUUUGAAUUAUACUUCUUGCCUUUGGUUUGUAAUUAGUAAUCACAAACCUUAAUCCGGGCUCAUAUUUGAAAUUUAUCGAUAUUUUAGUAUUUUAUGAGACCGCUAUCCUAAAUUUACCCUUUUAAAUUUUAAUUUUGAUACUUGAUUUUGAAUCAAUUAACAUCUCCAAAAACCGUUUCCAUGUAAAACGCAUUUUCUCUGGGAAAACCGACGAUACAAAAGGAUUCAGUUAUUAGUUGAGACUUGAAAUAAGAUUCAGUUAUAAAUAGCGACCGUAGCUGAUAUAAAAUUCAAAAAUUCUAAAUAUGUGAACUUAAAACUUGUAUCUUAAGAUGGACUUGUAUUCAUUACUAUUUAUCGCGAAAAAAGUUCAAGUAGUAAAACAAGAAAAACAUUAUCAUGAGUUUUUAAUUUAAAUGGCAAUGUGAGACAGAUCUUGGAAUCCCCACUAUCGACUAUCGAUGUAAUUAUACUGACAGAAUUGCCGUGAACAUUGAAAUUAACAGACAAUCGCUUCUGCGCCCGAAUAGGCUACAUUCAUGUGUUAGUGUGAUUAAGUGGAUGAACUUCGCAAUGGCAGAGAAAACAUGUCCAACCAAAAGAGGAAGACCAGCGAUUGGUCUGGGUCAAGCGCUGUCUCUGUUUAACCAGUAGCACAGUGAGCGCUAGACAAAGAUAGAAAUUGACCCGGACCAUAUCUUCUCUUUGUUUUUCUGCCGGACACUUUUCAAGAGCUUUUUGUAGAGAUUACACAGUCCAUGCUUUACGUCGAUGAAGUGGUUGAUGACUGAAGAAAUACGAGACUGUAGGAAAUUAAACCCGAAUAAAACAGUUAUUACUACAAGAAUGUUUAUUAUUAUAUUAUUAUUAUUUAUUCCUGUGGUAUAUUUGGCGUGUCAUUAUUACGUGCACAAUGGACCAUGUGGACGAUUAUUCCAUAAAAUACCAGGACCGUCAGGUUAUCCAAUUAUUGGUAAUUUAUUUUUAGCGCUAUGUUCACGAGGUAAGUUAAAACUUUCAACAUAUUUUUAUAAGUAAACAAAUUUUUCAAAUUAUGUAAAUAUUAAUGUUCCUUUGUGCAUAAUAUUUUUAAUAAUUAUAUAAGAAAGAGAGAGUUUUACAAUAUUUUUUAUUCAUUUUUAUUUUCUGGUUAAUUGUGUUUGUUUUGUUUUCGGUCCAACCAGAAUGCAAACAAAUCAGUUUAAAGUACAUGUAAAAUUCUAAAUUAAACUAAUUGCAAUUUUUCUUUAUUCUUAAUAUUUGAUAUACUUGUACAAAUUUUCAGAGAAGUUUUGGAAAAAUUUAAUUAUUUUUUCUACUCAAUAUUAUCCUAUUUUUAAAGUGUGGAUGUUUUUUUAUGGUCUUGUAUCUAUUCGACAUCCUGAUGACUUGGAGAUAAUACUAAGUAGUACAAAAGACAUCGAUAAGAGUCGAUUGUAUGAAGUAUUACAUCCUUGGUUAGGAAUGGGUCUUCUUACUAGUGGAGAAAUUUGAAGGAAUAUCGUCUUCUUCGGCUAUGUGAGCGGCGGCUCGUAUUUUCAUUCUUUUAAAGCAAACAAAUCUGAUUAAUGAGAAGAGGAGGAGAGAAUAUUCCAUCCGGACAAGACAACAUAAUUAUAAUUAUAAUUAAACUUUACUUAAGAGUGUUCUUGUGUGCGAUAGUCUCGUAAGCAAAGUCACAAGUCACAUAAAAAACACUUAAGACCUGUAAGUAUAUGCAAAUAAUACGCAAUUAAUUCAAAUUUCAAUUUCGCGUUUGUAUUCUGGGCCUUUUUUUAUUGGCUCACUUAUACGUGACGUACAUUAAUGGCAUGGCAUCAAUGAUUCACCUUGUAUCUUUACACCAUAGUGGUAAUCACGUGUUUGGUCACGAGUUUCUGUCUCUUAGGAAGAAAAAUAUGUGCUCAAAUAUUGUUUUAUUGUUUAAUAACAUUAUAAUUUAAAUCAACAAAAAUUAAAUUCUUUCAAAAAUAUUUUAUUUAAAAGAAACAAUUACUUUGUUUAAAAGUCCAAACAAUUGUAUUUGUUAGUUGAAACAUCAGUUUCAUUGGCGUGUACCAAUAAUCAAAUUUGUUUGACUUAAAAAAAAUUUAUUAUAUCCAAAGAAACUUUUCUCUCUGCGUACUAAAAAUCUAUAGUUAACGUUACGUAUGCUAUAGACGUUUAGUACUGACAGCAAUUUUGAAACACAGCCGUAGAUGUAAUCUAAAAAUCUAUGUUUUGUCA